CUACGGGACGCAGCAGUGGGGAAUAUUGGACAAUGGGGGAAACCCUGAUCCAGCAAUGCCGCGUGUGUGAAGAAGGCCUGCGGGUUGUAAAGCACUUUCGGUUGGGAGGACUGCUUCUAGCACUAAUAUUGUUGGAAGUUGACGUUACCUUCAGAAGAAGCACCGGCUAACUCCGUGCCAGCAGCCGCGGUAAUACGGAGGGUGCAGGCGUUAAUCGGACUUACUGGGCGUAAAGCGCGCGUAGGCGGCUAGAUCAGUCGGGUGUGAAAGCCCCGGGCUUAACCUGGGAACUGCAUCCGAUACUGUCUAGCUUGAGUACAGGAGAGGAGAGUGGAAUUCCACAUGUAGCGGUGAAAUGCGUAGAUAUGUGGAGGAACACCAAUGGCGAAGGCAGCUCUCUGGCCUGAUACUGACGCUGAGGUGCGAAAGCGUGGGGAGCAAACAGGAUUAGAUACCCGGGUAGUC
rnacentral:rRNA from 1 species